AUUGAACGCUGGCGGCAGGCCUAACACAUGCAAGUCGAGCGGAUGACGGGAGCUUGCUCCUUGAUUCAGCGGCGGACGGGUGAGUAAUGCCUAGGAAUCUGCCUGGUAGUGGGGGACAACGUUUCGAAAGGAACGCUAAUACCGCAUACGUCCUACGGGAGAAAGCAGGGGACCUUCGGGCCUUGCGCUAUCAGAUGAGCCUAGGUCGGAUUAGCUAGUUGGUGGGGUAAUCGCUCACCAAGGCGACGAUCCGUAACUGGUCUGAGAGGAUGAUCAGUCACACUGGAACUGAGACACGGUCCAGACUCCUACGGGAGGCAGCAGUGGGGAAUAUUGGACAAUGGGCGAAAGCCUGAUCCAGCCAUGCCGCGUGUGUGAAGAAGGUCUUCGGAUUGUAAAGCACUUUAAGUUGGGAGGAAGGGCAGUAAGUUAAUACCUUGCUGUUUUGACGUUACCGACAGAAUAAGCACCGGCUAACUCUGUGCCAGCAGCCGCCGUAA
rnacentral:rRNA from 1 species